rnacentral:misc_RNA from 1 species
UUGAAGUUGACAACUGCUUUCUGGCAUUGUCUCUCUCUACCCACACCUGUGAAUAUACCCUGUUGCUUUGGUAGGUUUGUUUGGUAUCUCAUAUCGAACUUUAAUCGUAUGAUGCCUACCAAAGGUUUCUUCAACACCCCUUAUCAUAUGUCAAAUCAGACUUUGUUUUAAAUACAAAAUGUAAUA